AUGUGGCUCAAGGGGUAGCGGUAGCGUGCACGCCUGGCAUGCGUGCGGCCUGGGUUCGAUCCUCAGCACCACAUA
rnacentral:tRNA from 1 species